AGUUGUAUAGUGCAGCGGUUAGCACGCCAGAUUCUGAUCCCGGAGACCUGGAUUCACAGUUCGAUCU